CGAAAAAUAUGCAGCUUGAAUGAGAAAAUAAAAAAUGCAAAAUAUGUCAAUGCUUCAUUACGUGAAGAGAUAUCAGAAGUUGAUUUGGUUCAAAGCCAUCUGGACAAGGAGCUUGAGUACUUCCUGUCAUUAGAGCGGAUAAUAAAUGAUACCUUUAGCUCUUCCCUGAAGGAGUCACUGCUGUUUACAAGUGAUCAGAUGCAGACAUUGAAGAGGAUGCUGGGAAAUAUUGGGAUGAAGUCACCCGAUGUUCCGUCAGGAACAGAGACAUAAUUCAGAGGAACUUGCCGCUGUCAAGAAGAUAAAACUGGAACAAAAAGCACAAUAAGAAGAGAAUAAUAAGGGAUGAGUGUAGGUAGUAGGUUGGGGUCAUAUUGAUUGUAGAUGUGUUUGAUGUGACUCAGUUGAAAAUAUUCCAAGCAUGAAUAAUGCCAAUGUACUGUAAACCGAGAGUAUUUUUGUAAUAUUGCAUCUUUGGCAUAGUUUUAAUUCAGCGUUUUGAGAACACUAUAACAGUAAUUGAGUUAAUGUUUGUUUUUUCGCGGCAUUUUAUUUUCGUGGAUCAAAAUCAAAACGCAUGCAAAAAUUUCCCGGUUGACAGUAUUAUGGCAUAACAGAGACGUUAUUGGCAGUUUCUUAUAACUCAAAUGACCCACCUAGCUCCUACUUAUUGUAUCCCUUUAAGGAUGAGCUGACAUUUCAACGUUUUGUAAUUUGAAAUUAUUAUAAACAGUACAAUAUAAAAUAUUACUGAAGAAAUCAUGGAGUUCGUAAUUCAUGCAAGCAGCCCGGCAUGGUAAAUUUGUACAGUGCCUAAUGUCGCCCCUGGUAAACAUGAAAGAAAUUCGCCAGCAUAAUUUUUUGGCAUCUGAUUUUUGCAGUGUUUGUUCUCAAUAUAUUUUUUGUCGGUCAUGCUCGCUUGGGCAUACUAGGUAGUACGUCAUUUUUCGCGGGUGACGAUGUAAUACCAGACGGAUAGCACAAAUUAUGAAUUCUUUGAUUUUAGCAGUGACAUUUUGUCUUGAAUUAAUUUGUAUUAUUAUAUGCGACCCAUCACUGCAAAACCAGGCGCAUGUCGCUCUGAGCUUGGCAGGUUGAGACCGACUGUUUGUUCAUUUCUCUAUUGUCUGCCUUUUGUGAAAUAUGAGCUCAUCAAUUUCUUCCAUUAUCUCCUGGUGUUAUUUAGGGUCAUCUUCUGCGAGACAUGCGCCUGGUUUUGCUGUGACGGUUCACAUAUGUCAAUUCAUCUUUAAAAAAUCAAUCAAGUUAAUUUUGCACAAUAAAGGCCUUUUUACCUACAUUGUAUGCUGCAUGCCAGCACAGGUGUGUCUCUGUCUCAGUUUUGGUCUACAUUUCAGCUCCACCCUCGCGGUGUGGGUGAGGCAGCCAAUACCUCCAGUUCUGUAUCAAUUCCUUAAACCAUGCCCUCAUUGUGUACUCGUAUGUUAGGUGACUGUUAUGUACCACUCAACAGAUAUCGUCUGGGUAUAAUAAAUCAUUUAUUAGACUAUACUCGGGUUUACAAACUGGCUCUUAGCGCCAUACUUACAGACUCCAUUACGAAAUUGUGCAGAACAUUAUUCACUACUAUCAUGACGGUAUACAGGGUGUGUCACAUAAAUGCCACAAGCACCACAUUCCUCCCUGCUAAUCCUAAGGUCAGUCCAAAUAGUCUCAUAACUAAAACUGAAGGUAAUUUAACUAGUAACCUGGUAGCAACUAAACAAAUGUGGACCUUAUUAAAACACUAGGUCAAAAACUAGAACAGAAGCUCAAACACGCACGAGCUCAAAAACCAAACUUAAGUGACUAUACAGUGUCACAUAUACCAUGUAAUGGAUGUGUCCAAAUGUCACAACCUAUUACUGUAAAGUGUCUCAUGAACCAUGCAUGUAAAUAACGCACACACAAGUACAGUGGAACCCCGGUAACACGACCACUCAUGUGACCGUGGUCGUGUUACCGGGGUGGUCGUGUUAGCGAGGUUGGGAAUCCCCAGACGAAAUACAUGAUUAUUUUUCCCGCCAAAAUUCAGUCCCGACUGCAUGGCGUGUGUACGCUGUACUACCAUAGCAACGCUGCCUGAUUGAGAUGAUGCACGCUCCAAAGUUUUGUUAUCAUGCCUCGCAAGAACAGUUCGUCGAUAAAAUUACAUGUUACAUUCUCAGAAUGAGUUAGAAAAGGUAAUUUUGUAACUCAUUUUAUCCACAAAGUUUCAUUAUCUGCCCGACGUGACGCAUUUGCGGGCAAUUUGGUGAAUCAUCCUCCAUGUACCCGACUGUUUGUGACGAUUGAAGUAAACUUGUCGUAUGAUUCCACGUGAAUGAUGAGUUGAGUAAUGCUACAGUUUUAAUCAAAUCUAUUUUCAGUCAAAAUAUUUAAAGAAAUAUAAAAUGAUACUGUAGUAAAUCAACCAAGUUCUCCAUAUCAUAAAACAUUCAAACGUCUCGCAAGCUUGUUAUUGUCAUAAGUAUGGUCUUCAAACUACCCGCCGUUUAUUAUAAGUUCAUAUGCAAAUCACGCAAAUCACAUGAUUUUGCUGCUGCUGAGUGCGCAUGUCUGGUACUGAACUGGCUCAGUAAUGAAAACAAACCAUGAAAACGUUAGAAAAGGAAAGUUUAUUUAUUCAUUUACACUUAUACAAUUGAUCAUACCUGCAAAAUCACAUUGUAUUUUUUGUUUUCAUAUGCAUUCCCAUGGCCAUUGUCCCCGUCUCAACAAAGCUUGGCAGCGAGGUGCUAAUUACUAUGCCGCGGUCGCGACCGAUUACGGUAAUUAGGCCUGGUGGUCGGGUUAGCGGGGUUGAUUUUCAGUUUGGGACCGGCCAAGCCAGUGGUCGCGGUCGGGGUACCGGGGUGGUCAUCUUAGCGGGGGUCUCUUAAUGGUAAUUAGAGAGGAAACCAUUCGGGACCGGAGAAUCGUGGUCGCGUUAGCGGGGUGGUCGCGUUACCGGGGUGGUCGCCAACCGGGGUUCCACUGUAAUGCUAGAAUGUCACUGAACCCAAAAGUGCAACAAAUGGGCACAGUCCUUCAACUAUGUUCAAUCAAACGCUCAGGUGGUUUUCUCGCAUGUGCAGAUCUCCUCGGAGCUGGGACUGGACUGGCAACAGCAGUGUUCUCAGGAACAGGCAAUGGAGCUGGUCCUACAGGAGGUUCCACAUGGCCUGGUGCCUGAACUGGAGCCGGACGCUCAGAUUGCACUAGAGGCAUGUCUGGCAUGUGAUCUGGUUAUUCCAGUGCUUCCAAUGUAAGUUCUCCACUGCGACGUAGGUGAUCCACGUGUACAAAUCUACGUCAGCCACCAACAUCCACAAUGUAUGACUGUGGUCCUUGAAUUUUGACCACACAACCUGGGAGCCAUUUCUCCCUUCCAUUUCGGAAGAUGCGCAUGCGCACAAUCUCAUUGAGGACAAAAGCCCUUGCCUUGACACCACAGUUGUGAUGAUUUUUCGCCAUCUUGUCUUGUUUUUCAGUUACAGUCUUGUUAAGAUCUGGAAGUAGUAAGGAGAUCAUGUUCUCAACAGACGUUUGAACACUUACUCAGCCGGGCUUAUCCCAGUCACAGUAUGGGGUGUAGUGCGAUAUUUUGAGGGGUACGACUUUGCUCAUGUCCUUUCUCCUCUACAAGAAAAUGCUUUUUGAACGCGGUCUUCGCUGAUUUCACGAUAUUCUCCGCUGCUGUUUGACUGGGGAUGAUACGGCGGUACCAACUUGUGCUGAAUUCCGUUUCUGCGCAUGAAAUCAGCAAAUUCACUCAGAGUGAACUGGGGCCCGUUAUCUGACCGUCACUAUUGACCUGAGUGUCAAUAUCCUGAUUUUCAACCACGUUUUAAUCGUAUCUGGCGUCUCCUCCCCCUGUGGAUGAGAACAGCCAAAGGCGAUACCAACUAUGUCCCCAUCACUGUCGCAAUCAGAGGCUUCAUCAGCCGGCGGUUUAAUCAAGUGAGUGGCGUGAGUACAACAGCGUUUCCUAGUGCAUAAAGGACUGGCAGUGUUUUGAUCAUCGUCAAUGAGAGGCAGGCCUGGGCAUGGCAAUAGCAAAUGCGAUGUAGAACCCUCUCUCUACCUGUGCCAUCCUCAGCUAAGACCCCGUAUACGGGCUGUCGUGAUUGUCGCCCUUUCGAGAGACAACAAUAUGUACCCUGUCUUCCCAGUGUGACCUGAGUUUACCAGGACCGCCACGCUGACUUAGGUUGCGUAGGAGGACACGAUCAUCAAUUUGUAAAGGCUGUCCAUACAUUUUUUUGUCAUACUGUUUCUUGCUGCGGGCGGUCGCAACCUUCAUAUGAGAUGAAGCUGUGUUGCAUAGCUGUUUGCCAGUUGGUAACAAAUGGUCGAUCCCCACCUGUGGCUCCUUCCAAUUCAUCCAUCUUGAUGAUAUGUCAACCUCUAGGGUACACACUACAUGCAGACACCAACCAGACCACUGCACUUGCUGUUAAUAUCGAGGACGAGGUUGGCCAUGAAUUUUAGCGUGCCGGUGCCUAUACAAUGACCUGUCUCUGAUUACUGGGCACCAGGUUAUAACAAUAAUGUCAACUACGGCCUACAUUCGUCCGGGCAUUAAAUGUCAUUACACAGUGAAAAUAAACUAGUUCAGACUCACAACGGAGUAUUGUUCAACCAACUGUCACUAUUGAAUCCUUACAUAGUCUAAAAUCAGUCCUGUACUUCCCAAAACGAAUAGAAAAACAUUGUUUUCUCAGUCUCGCUUCCCAGCACACACAAAGAAAGACCCACAGCAUUAACACGAUGACCGAAAUAGACAACUUCUGGUGCGCGGAACCUACACUUAGGUUGCUUGGCCACUUUGUGGUGCUUGUUCAACCGCUCCAAGAUAGUCUCCAAACGACUCAGAUGCUCAUCACGCUUCGUUCCCGUCAGAAUGUCAUCCAAAAUACACUUAACGCGGGGUAUAUUGACCAACACACAAUCCAUGACAGACUGGAAAAUAGAUGGCGCUAUUUUCACGCCAAAAGGCAGUCUCUGGACUUGGUAAAGACCCUGAUGAGUAUUUAUCAUACACAGCGGCUUCGACGCCUCAGUGACCUCCAAUUGUUGGUAUGCCUGGGUUAAAUCUAAUUUAGAGAACACCUCGCUACCAGCCAGCGUAGAGAACAAGUCAUCUGCCGUAGGUAAUGGAUAGAUAUUGGCCUCCAACGAUUUAUUGAUUGUCACUUCGAAGUCACCACUAAUUCGCAGUUCACCCGAUGCCUCGGGAACAACCACGAUUGGAAAAGCCCACUCGCUGUUUUCAACCUUUUUUAAAAUUCCCACCUCUGCCAACCUGUCGAGUUCAAGACCAACUCUAGACUUGAUGGAGUAUGGGACUGGCCUAGCCUUAUAAAAGAUCGGCGGUGCGCCUUCUUUCAGCUUCAAGUCUGCCUUGAACCCAGUAAUAGUACCUGUUUGCCCACCAAAUUCAGAAAGGUAACGCUGCUCAACCUGGGGUCAUCACUGAAUACAACAAAGAUAUGCUUCCAAUCAAGCUUGAUGACCUUGAGCCCAUUUCGGCCCAAUAGCGACACUUUUCAACCCUUUGCUACUACCAGGGCUAACUCAACUUAUUGCCCCUUAUAAAAAAGAGGUACACGAAUUUCUCAGACCACAGGGAUCUGAUCUCCUGAAUAACUUUUUAAUGAAUUUCAAUUUCCUGAAUAGGCACUGAUGCAAAUUGCGAUUGAUACAUUUCAUGCGGUAUUACGGGUACCGCUGUGGCAGUGUCCACGACAAAGGACACUGAUUUAUCGCACACCUGCACAUCAACCUUAAUCUCAGAUCUUUCUGUGGAAGAAUGAACAGCAUACAACGCUUCCGAAUCUGAAUCCGAAUCCUGCGUUUCUACAUAAUACGAUCAUUGUUUCCUUUCCCUUCCUUUAGCGCCACCUUUUGGAGCCGAUUGCUCCUCCUUGGUUCCUUUUUUCGAUCGACAAAACUUUUCGAAGUGAUCAGCUUUCCCGCAUUUACGACACUCCUGCCCCCGUGCGGGGCAAUCUGGGUCACGUCCAAAGUGACCUUGACGACCAGACCGAAAACAACUGCCACCCUUAGCACCGCCUUUUUGAAAUCGACUUUUGUCCUUUUUCACACCUUGGCCUACUUUAGUGACACGAUUCACACUUUCGGAUUUUUCCAGAACCCAUUGACUCUAGCUGAUACUCGACAGCCUCCAAGGCACGUGAGGUUUGAAAUAGUCUCUCCAGCGUCAAAUCCUCUUUUUCUAAUAAUUUUCUCCUCAGCUUAUUUGACAGGCAUUUUUCGAUAACUUGGUCUCUUAUGUCCACCUCCUCAUUAUCAAAAUUGCAGUACCUGGCCUGCUUUUUUAGUCUCGCAACGAAUUUAUCCACCAUCUCACCGUCCUUUUGGGCCAUCGCCCUGAACACAUGCCAUUCGUAGGGUUCGUUGAUCUUCCCCACGAAGUGGCGGUUCAAUGUACGCGUUGCCUUUACAUAGGCAUUUGCACGGUCUGGAAUUGGGUUGCCAUCAGCAUCCACUUCAAUGUGGUGGGCCCAGGGUCGACCAAUGUUUCAAAGUGUUCCUUGACCUCUGGGCCAUUGCAGUGCUGGGUUAAGGCCUUUUUCUGUGGGGCCGCAACGACGGCCUUGGCCACGACAAAAUAUUCGAAUGAUUUCCGCCAUCUUUCCCAGCGGGGACUGACGGCCGCGGCAUUUCCUGCCAAAUCAAACCUUUCAACGGCUAAUAACUCGCUUGAAGACAACGCCAUGGCUCGAACUCACUUAGUGACAGUUCGCCUUCCUCGUCGCCAAUGUUAUUUACCACUCACCAGAUAUCCUCUGGGUAUAAUAACUUAUUUAUUAGACCAUACUCGGGUUUACAAACUGGCUCUUAGCGCCAUGCUACAGACCCCAUUACGAAAUUGUGCAGAACAUUAUCCGCGACGAUCAUGACGGUAUACAGGGUGUGUCAUAUAAAUGCCACAAACACAACAGUGACCAUUUCCAAUCCUUAUGUCAGUGAAUUUUCUGCGUUAAAGUAUAGACCCCACCAGAGUGUCAUUCGAAAUUUAGAGUUGAGGUUUUUUUUAUUGUGUAAAGACAAUGUCAACACAAAUAUAGAUAUACUGAACAGGUCAAAUUUCUUCACGUUGACACAUCUGUUAACUGACUGUACAGCAGCAAGGUUUAUUUCUAUUCACUUGAAUCACAAGUAAAUACAAUAAAUAAGAACAUCAUAGGCCUUACACUCUUUCAGUGACCAGAUUUUGGGCAUUUUAGGCCAUAUAAAGCACAUUAAAGUGGCUGGGGGCAUCUUGUGUCAUCUGUAGGAACUAAGACACAAAAAUUCAGGUCGUACAUGUAUAAUAUUGGCACUGAAAGAGUUAAGCAGGUCCGUUACGUCACACUCCCAGUUUUUUUUUCCCGGGUAUAAACUCCACCCGAGUAUUACAAUGCUUGAAUUUUAAGUGUAUUUCAUACAAGACAACUCAAUUACAUUAAAAGACUUAAGGAUUUUUGGGCACCAAUCGUAUUCAUUUUAUCACUUAUUCAUCUGUAAUAAUUUCAUGCACAUGUCUACAAAAGAAAGGGUUUUGCGUUCAAAUAGAAAUUCAGGAUGUAAAAAUGUACAGAAGAAUUUUGCCAUAAUAGACACCUGUUUCGUCAAAAAACAGGCUUGACGUAAUCAAUAAUCACUGCCUGACUCUAUCUGAGGAUUUACUCCACUAUACAGCAGAACCUCUCCAAUAAGGACACCCUCUGGACUGUUGGACUGACAAGUGCUGUCCUUGAUAUGGAGAGAUGUCCUGAUUAGAGAGGUCAAAUUGAAUGAAAACAACCAAUUUGGGACUUAAACUAGUGUCCUUAAUAGAGAGGGUGUACUUAAAUAUAGAGGUGUCCACUAAAGGAGGUUCUACUGUGUAUGGUUUGUGUAAGUUGCAUAGCAAUAGAGGGAAGUCUAAUGUGACUGCUACAUACAGCUUAUUAGAACUGGAUUCAACAUUUCGGGCCGAAUUUACGAAGGGUGUUUAAGAGUUAGACGCGUGUAAAUUCUACAUAAUCAGUUUCAGGGCCUAAUGCGGUUUUCAUGAAGAAACCCUGCAAGGCCCUGACUCUGUCUAUUCAGACAUUAAACGCUGUUUUAAGCUAAACACCCUUUGUAAAUUCGGCCCUUCAUCUUUGUACACAACUGUUGGAAACAUUGUAUUUAUUUUGUUAAAAAUA